rnacentral:rRNA from 1 species
AUGGGGCUUGAUAAAGUUAGCUUCAAAAGAUCGUUAUGUGGGGAAUCUCUACAUUUGUGGGAGCACAUAAGAGAGGUGUGUGAGAGUGUGACACUCAAUGAAACCCAAGACAUGAUUAAAUGGACUUUGUCUGGAGAUGGUAAAUAUACAGUCAAAACAUGUUAUAGACCCUUGAUCCAAAAUGGACUACAUUAUCCAUACAAAUUCCUAUGGAAAACAAAAAUGCCUCCCAGGGUCAAGGUCUUCUUGUGGUUAUUGCUGAGGAAGAGUAUUCUUACCAAGGAAAACCUGAAAAAAAGAGGAUGGCAGGGGGAUGCAGAAUGUUCCUUUUGUGGUCGAGAGGAAGAUAUAGAACAUUUAUUUGUACAUUGCUCUGUGGCUAAAAUGCCAUGGAUGGUUAUGAAAUGCUCUUUUGACAUACAUGAUGUUCCUGAUAAAAUCAAUGAUAUAUUUGGUAGAUGGAUUAACAAAUUUGAAAAAAAAUGA